rnacentral:rRNA from 1 species
GCACGUCGAGCGGUAAGGCUCUUUCGGGAGUACACGAGCGGCGGACUGGUGCGUAACGCGUAUACAACUUGCCCUUUAACGGGGGAUAGCCUGAAGAAAUUCAGAUUAAUACCCCAUAUGAUGGUGGAACCGCAUGGUUCAGCCAUGAAAACUCCGGUGUUAAAGGAUGGGUAUGCGUGACAUUAGAUAGUUGGUGAGGUAACGGCUCACCAAGUCAACGAUGUCUAGCUGGUCUGAGAGGAUGAUC